rnacentral:rRNA from 1 species
UGGGGAAUAUUGCACAAUGGAGGGAACUCUGAUGCAGCGACGCCGCGUGAACGAAGAAGGCUUUCGAGUCGUAAAGUUCUUUUAUAUGGGAAGAUAAUGACGGUACCAUAAGAAAAAGCCCCGGCUAACUACGUGCCAGCAGCCGCGGUAAUACGUAGGGGGCUAGCGUUGUCCGGAAUCACUGGGCGUAAAGGGUUCGCAGGCGGAAAUGCAAGUCAGGUGUAAAAGGCAGUAGCUUAACUACUGUAAGCAUUUGAAACUGCAUAUCUUGAGAAGAGUAGAGGUAAGUGAAUUUUUAGUGUAGCGGUGAAAUGCGUAGAUAUUAAAAAGAAUACCGGUGGCGAAGGCGACUUACUGGGCUCAUUCUGACGCUGAGGAACGAAAGCGUGGGUAGCAAACAGG